rnacentral:lncRNA from 1 species
CUCAUCCUCCUCACUAUCGAGAUACUUGUGGGUGGCGUAGCCCAUCAGGGCACCAAUAUUACCUAUGACGACGCUGCUGCCACCAGCCCCUGUAAAGCAAACACAGAUGAGUCACUGGGGCCCAAGUGCCAGGCCUGGGAAUCCAAAUGUCUGGAAACCAUUGGUUGAGUCCAACCCCUUAUGUCUAGAUGGAGAAACAGAGGCCCUGAGAGGGGAUGGCACUACUACAAAGUGAGUCCCAUUGCCUUGACAUCCCAAAUCAGAGAUGUGUUUCAGUGAUGAAAAAGGCAAAAAUAAUGGCUCCUUCACCUGAUGUCUGCCAUGGAAACGCCAUGUUAUUAAUCAUGCUAACAGCCACCUUCGUGGAGCCCUGUGUGGGUGUGGGGGGUUCACAAGCCAGGGAUCAUUUCAUCUUGUCACAGCUAUGUGCCAUGUGAGAGGACAACUAGCUGAUAGCCCAGAGGUGUCCCUGGGCUCGCCCACACUCUUCCCCUCCCAUUGCAGGGGUGUGGCCCCGUCUGAGCAGGGCUCUCUUCUUUUGGGCUGGUUCUUUGGGCUUUUGCCAUUCAGAAUUGAGAGAAGAGAAGAUGCGAGGUUCAGAAAGGCAGAGAGGGAAGUUUGUCAGGGGCAGGUUUUCUCCAGGAUUUUGGAGGCCUCAGAGCGCGAGAGAGAGGUGGGGGUGGGUGGGGAGAGAGGAGAGAGAGGGAAGUAAGGCCAUUUUUUAUGAGUCACUCUGGGCCAGCACAGUGGCUCAUGCUUGCAGUCUCAACACUUUGGGAGGCCAAAGUGGGAGGAUUGCUUGAGCCCAGGAAUUCAAGACCAUCCUGGGCAACACAAUGAGACCCCGUCUCUACAAAAAAAAAAAAAAAAAAAAAAAAAAAAGCCAGUGUGUGGCGGUAUGCGCCUAUAGUCCCAGCUACUUGGGAAUCUGAGGUAGGAAGAUAGCUUAAACCUGGGAGUUCGAGGCUGCUGUGAGCUGUGAUCAUGCACUGCAUUCCAACCUGGCAGUGUGAGACCUUGUUUUGACCUUUAUCUAUAAUAAAUAGAUCAAUAGAUUGAUCAAUCGAUAGAAGAGUCACUGUGAGCUCUGUUAUCUGUUCCCUCCAUGGUGUUCAAAAAGUGCAAGUCAAGACCAGUUUGGUGUGAGAUUGAUUUGAGUUACUCUACUAUGUUUCUUUGCUACUGUGGUCUCUGAGAUUGAGCAGAUUCAAAAAAUGUUAAACUGAGGAUGAUCAUCCCCACGCACCGCUGAGGGAACUGAGGCUUGUGAUUUGGCCAAAGCAUCAGUGAGGCACCCAGCCUUUGAGGCUGAGAAUGGGGCUUCUCGCAUUGUACUGACUGGGUCAGAAUCUAGGCUCUGGUCUAAACUAGCAGGGAGACUUGAGUAAGUUACUUAAUUUCUGGCCGGACGCGGUGACUCACGCCUGUAAUCCUAGCACUAUGGGACGCCGAGGCGGGCGGAUCAGCUGAGGUCAGGAGUUUGAGGCCAGCCUGGCCAACAUGGUGAAACCCCAU